UACGUAGGGAGCAAGCGUUGUCCGGAAUCAUUGGGCGUAAAGCGCGCGUAGGUGGCCCCAUAAGUCCGCUGUGAAAGUCAAAGGCUCAACCUUUGAAAGCCGGUGGAUACUGUGGGACUAGAGUACGGAAGAGGCGAGUGGAAUUCCUGGUGUAGCGGUGGAAUGCGCAGAUAUCAGGAGGAACACCCGUAGCGAAGGCGGCACUCUGGGCCGAUACUGACACUGAGGAGCGAAAGCGUGGGGAGCGAACAGG
rnacentral:rRNA from 1 species